GACGAACGCUGGCGGCGCGCUUAACACAUGCAAGUCGAACGGAAAGGCCUGCUUUCCCUUGUGGAUUGCGGGUACUCGAGUGGCGAACGGGUGAGUAACACGUGAGUGAUCUGCCCCCAACUUGGGUAUAAGCCUGGGAAACUGGGUCUAAUUCCCGAUAGGACUGCAGGGUGGUGCCUGUGGUGGAAAACGAUUUUCUAGUGGUUGGGGAUGAGCUCGCGGCCUAUCAGCUUGUUGGUGGGGUAAUGGCCUACCAAGGCGGCGACGGGUAGCCGGCCUGGGAGGGUGGACGGCCACAUUGGGACUGGGAUACGGCCCAGACUCCUACGGGAAGCAGCAGUGGGGAAUAUUGCACAAUGGGCGGAAGCCUGAGGCAGCGACGCCGCGUGGGGGAUGACGGCCUUCGGGUUGUAAACUCCUUUCGACCGCGAGGAAGCCACCUGGUUGGAAGGGUGGUGACGGUAGUGGUAGAAGAAGCACCGGCUAACUACGUG
rnacentral:rRNA from 1 species